GGUUUUCAAAACCCUUGCUGCUCCAGUCAUGAUAUACAACUCUAUUGGAGUUCUAAUCUAGAAGAUCCUGCAGAAAGCCGCUAAAUUUCUCCCACCAAAAUGAAGUAUCCAACAAAAUACAUUGUGAGAAAAGAUGGAUUGCAUUGAACUUGGUUUUUCAGUUGGAGGGCCAUGACAAUUAGAAAUUCAAUUUCUUUUUUUCAUGAUCUGUAUUCACCGACUCUUUUUUAGAUUU
rnacentral:misc_RNA from 1 species